rnacentral:rRNA from 1 species
UACGUAGGGUGCAAGCGUUGUCCGGAAUUAUUGGGCGUAAAGAGCGUGUAGGCGGCCCGAUUAGUCCGCUGUGAAAGUCCAGGGCUCAACCCUGGAAUGCCGGUGGAUACUGUCGGGCUAGAGUCCGGAAGGGGCGAGUGGAAUUCCUGGUGUAGCGGUGGAAAUGCGCAGAUAUCAGGAGGAACACCAAUUGCGAAGGCAGCUCGCUGGGACGUUACUGACGCUGAGACGCGAAAGCGUGGGGAGCAAACAGG